GAGAAACCUGUGAAGAAGAAUAGUAGCUGGCGGAUGUCAGGCCACAGAGAGUCCCGGAGGGUGGAAACGGGAUGUGAGACAGUCAGUGAAUGGGCUUCGGAGGGCGGCUUUGAACGGAGUACUUCCAAGUAGGGGCUGACGGGACCCCACCCGUUAUCCAUCGGGGCACGUAUGAUGGUACGUGUAGCGAGCGGGCAUUUCGCAGGAAAUGUCAAUUUGGGUGGUAUCGCAGAAGCUUUCGCUUUUGUCCCAUGU
rnacentral:ncRNA from 1 species